GACGAACGCUGGCGGCGUGCUUAACACAUGCAAGUCGAACGGAAAGGCCCUGCUUUUGUGGGGUGCUCGAGUGGCGAACGGGUGAGUAACACGUGAGUAACCUGCCCUUGACUUUGGGAUAACUUCAGGAAACUGGGGCUAAUACCGGAUAGGAGCUCCUGCUGCAUGGUGGGGGUUGGAAAGUUUCGGCGGUUGGGGAUGGACUCGCGGCUUAUCAGCUUGUUGGUGGGGUAGUGGCUUACCAAGGCUUUGACGGGUAGCCGGCCUGAGAGGGUGACCGGCCACAUUGGGACUGAGAUACGGCACAGCCUCCUACGGGAGGCAGCAGUGGGGAAUAUUGCACAAUGGGCGGAAGCCUGAUGCAGCAACGCCGCGUGCGGGAUGACGGCCUUCGGGUUGUAAACCGCUGUCGCCUGUGACGAAGCGUGAGUGACGGUAAUGGGUAAAGAAGCACCGGCUAACUACGUG
rnacentral:rRNA from 1 species